UGGGAGCUUGCUCCCUGAUCUUAGCGGCGGACGGGUGAGUAACACGUGGGCAACCUGCCCUGCAGACUGGGAUAACUCCGGGAAACCGGAGCUAAUACCGGGUAAUACAUCGCACCGCAUGGUGCAAUGUUGAAAGUUGGCUUUCUGAGCUAACACUGCAGGAUGGGCCCGCGGCGCAUUAGCUAGUUGGUAAGGUAAUGGCUUACCAAGGCGACAAUGCGUAGCCAACCUGAGAGGGUGAUCGGCCACACUGGGACUGAGACACGGCCCAAACUCCUACGGGAGGCAGCAGUAGGGAAUCUUCCGCAAUGGACGAAAGUCUGACGGAGCAACGCCGCGUGAGUGACGAAGGCCUUCGGGUCGUAAAGCUCUGUUGUUAGGGAAGAACAAGUACCGUUCGAAUAGGGCGGUACCUUGACGGUACCUAACCAGAAAGCCACGGCUAACUACGUGCCAGCAGCCGCGGUAAUACGUAGGUGGCAAGCGUUGUCCGGAAUUAUUGGGCGUAAAGCGCGCGCAGGCGGUCUUUUAAGUCUGAUGUGAAAGCCCACGGCUCAACCGUGGAGGGUCAUUGGAAACUGGAGGACUUGAGUGCAGAAGAGGAGAGUGGAAUUCCACGUGUAGCGGUGAAAUGCGUAGAUAUGUGGAGGAACACCAGUGGCGAAGGCGGCUCUCUGGUCUGUAACUGACGCUGAGGCGCGAAAGCGUGGGGAGCAAACAGGAUUAGAUACCCUGGUAGUCCACGCCGUAAACGAUGAGUGCUAGGUGUUGGGGGGUUCCACCCUCAGUGCUGAAGUUAACACAUUAAGCACUCCGCCUGGGGAGUACGACCGCAAGGUUGAAACUCAAAGGAAUUGAC
rnacentral:rRNA from 1 species